rnacentral:rRNA from 1 species
UACGAAGGGUGCAAGCGUUAUUCGGAAUUAUUGGGCGUAAAGGGUGUGUAGGCGGUAUGUUAAGUUUGUUGUUAAAUUUCCCAGCCUAACUGGGAACAUGCGGCGAAUACUGGCGUACUAGAGGAUGGGAGAGAGAGGUGGAAUUCUCGGAGUAGCGGUAAAAUGCGUAGAUCUCGAGAGGAACACCGAUGGCGAAGGCAGCCUCUUGGUCCAUUCCUGACGCUGAAACACGAAAGCGUGGGGAGCAAACAGG